rnacentral:misc_RNA from 1 species
AGAUUCCUUUACUAUGCAUAGGAAAGAAAUUGUUUUCUAAUGAAAAUCUGCUGUUUCUAACGCUAGGUACUUACGGUUCGCGAGGUAUUUGAAAUUUGAGUCAGUCUCAAAAGCAAAUUCCUACUUAGUGCCCCAAAAUAUCUUCAGUUCCUUUACAAAUUUUUACUGAUUUUUCAAAUUUAAUUUCAACUUAAAAUUGCUCAUUUGUACAUUAACAGUACGUAGCACUGCCAUGCAUUUAGCAAUGCAAUUUUUAGUCAGUUUAUUCCCGUGAAAUUUGAAGUGUCAUUUAUUGAAAGCAAGUUUCAGGUGAUUCUUGCGCCUUUUAACUGAUUUGAUUUAUUUGAAUGGUUGUGAAAAGCAAUGAUAUUCUAAUGUUUGUAUGAUUUUUAUCGGCAGCUAUGUCGGAGCCAUCGUGACAUAGGUAUCAGUGACACUUCACAUGAAAUGUAAGCUUUAAUACUUACUAAGGCCUAUUUUUAGUUUGGUUUUGAUUUCGUUGUUAAAGCAUUGGCAAACCAUGACAGGAUUGGGGUAGUUAUGCUUAAGACAUCUUGGCCCAGCAAACCGAUUACGUCUGGAUUCUGUUCUGGUUGGUUAUAGCUGGGUUUGUACGAGGAGCGGCUCUAAUAAAUUUCGCGAUUACCAUCUCGGAGUACGCAACUUUAGAGAAAUUGCCCGCAGCGUUUGGACUUCACAAUGUUGGCAAAGGACUCUUUGUUGUCACCUUAGGACCUGUUUUAGGCAAGAUUUUGGUUUAACCAUACAUGAAAGUGAACGAUUUUGAAAUUGUUUCAAUGCCAGAUAGAUUUGCCGGCAAGAUUCCAACAAUUUCUUUUUCAAAACAUUUUUCUUGGGUAUUUUGCAUCAACAUUUUUAGCUGAUAUAGGAUAUAGGCCUAGGUCCCUCGGACGUUUCGGGACGUACAUGGGACAUACUUUUGAAACUGUUCGGGUUAUGUAUGGGAUGAUCCCUUUGAAUAUGAAACUAACUUGUAACUGACUAAUUAAGUUUUAUAUUCAAAGGAUGAUCCUGUAAACGUCAUUUGGGACAUCACUGUGAUUAUAGACGGGUUGAUUCGAGGACAUCUGUGAAAAGUUCUUAGGUUAAACGUCAACCGUCAAAUUAUUGGUUGGUGUUCUUUCUAAAAAUCAUUUUUCUAACUCUUUCAACUUUCGGAAAACGUUGAAGGCAGCUUUAUAAUUUGUAAAAUUUAUGGUGAAAGCAAUUUAAAAGAAACAAAACACUGAACCAAUAACCUAUACUUCAAAACAAACAAAAUACAUUUACGUAUUACAAACUAAAUUUUUUUUCAAUUAAUCGAAAUUUGUUCUUCUAUCCGGAACCGAACUAUAAUAUUAAAGUGUUUAUUGCUAUUUUUGUCCCUUUUGAGCCUUUCCGGCGCGUGCCUGAGCCAAUUUUUAAUUUCAAUUUCAAUAUCUUUCCUGGUUGCUAUGAAAUGCGGAUUUUUUACUAAGCCAUCUGUAAUAAAAAAUAUAUAUUUUAUCAUUUAUAAAUCCAAUUAAAAGUGUAUUUAGCCUUACUCUUACUUAAGUACUUAAGUCCCUUACAAUUAAAAAGUUCUUGAAAACUUUUUUUUCCUUUUUUGCCUUUGAAACUAUAGGUCACCAACUCACCUCUGUGGCUCCCACCAAUUAAUUGGAUGAAGCUAUUUAACCUGCAACAUAAUAUUAAUAAAAAAUCUUGCCGGUAUCAUGUCGCCUACAGUUAUGCAAAUUAAUAUGCCAAAAUACUUAAAAUUUGUUACUUACCAUAUUAUUUCAUUUUUCCACCCGGAAAUCUAAAUCGAUAUAUUUUCCAUAUUUCUUGUUUGGUAAUGCACAGUUCUUUAUUUUACUGCUUAUUCGGUCUUCGUCUCGGCGCCAAUAGCAUAAAUUUUAGUCUUUAAUCGCAGUGUCUUUGAAAAAGUUUAAUAAAUCAUUCUAGUGAA